AGUGUACGCUGGCGGCGUGCUUAACACAUGCAAGUCGAACGAGAACGGAUUAUAGCUUGCUAUAAUUGUCAGCUAAGUGGCGCACGGGUGAGUAAUGUAUAGGUAAUAUGCCUCUUACUAAGGGAUAACAAAUGGAAACGUUUGCUAAUACCUUAUACUCCUUAUUAACAGAAGUUAAUAAGGGAAAGAUUUAUUGGUAAGAGAUUAGCCUGUAUUGUAUCAGUUAGUUGGUGGGGUAAUGGCUUACCAAGACUAUGACACAUAACUGGUUUGAGAGGAUGAUCAGUCACACUGGAACUGAGACACGGUCCAGACUCCUACGGGAGGCAGCAGUGGGGAAUAUUGCACAAUGGACGAAAGUCUGAUGCAGCAACGCCGCGUGGAGGAUGACACAUUUCGAUGCGUAAACUCCUUUUAUAUGAGAAGAUAAUGACGGUAUUAUAUGAAUAAGCACCGGCUAACUCCGUGCCAGCAGCCGCAGUAA
rnacentral:rRNA from 1 species